rnacentral:lncRNA from 1 species
AAAAAAAAAAAAAAAAAAAAAAAAAAGGGAAAAAACGAAAAGGAAAAACAAAAUGAAUGAGAUUCGGAAAUGAAUAACACCGUAUUACACAACACUACACAAACUGUGCAUGGUUUUGUGACUGUGAAAAUUGAGACAAAAAGGGAGAACCUCGGAGCCGCAUUUCACCUUCUUUUCCAUUACACACACUCCUACAGUCACUUUCUUCCCAACAUUCCCCUCCUCUCCCACCAUUCCUUUCUCUACUGCUAUAAACAAUUUUCAAUAAUUCUUCUCGAUCUCUUCGACGCUGCUCAAAACUUUCCAAAAAUAUAUAUACAUAUAUUAAACUGAUUCAUACAUGUUUAUCAUUUACGUAUAAUAAAUAAAUUGCCGAAUAUAAAGGAAACCGAAAAAUAGCCAUAAAUUAGUUACCAGAGAUGCAAGAAUUUCGGGAUAUUCUAGAUGAAAAUAAAAAUCCAAGACGGCGACGUAUUUGAAGUUCCUUUUCAACUUUCUUUCACGGGAAAGAGAAGAAAAGGCUGCGACUCGGACCAAAAAUGUAACAAAGGUCAUGAAUAUACUGCAGAGAUUAAGAUUUUUAAUGCCGAGAAAAAUCUUUGGAUUACGGAAUCUGGAAUAUACAGAGGGCUGUUUAAGUACUGAAAAGGACACGCUUUUAAGAGAGGGCGAGUGCGGUGUACGACGUGUCCCCGUCAAUGUCAAUCAUAAAAGUUCCGUGUCUUUGGCUUUUGUUCUCAUGUGGGGGGGUGUAUCUAGAAAGUUUUAGGAUAAAGUUCAUUAAUUAUUUUGUGAAAUUUUAUUUAAUUCGAUGUAUAGAUCGAUCAAGACAAUAACUGCGGUAACGAAGGGCAUGCUCGUCAUGUGUUGAGAG